rnacentral:rRNA from 1 species
AGUGAACGCUGGCGGUAGGCCUAACACAUGCAAGUCGAACGGCAGCACAGUAAGAGCUUGCUCUUACGGGUGGCGAGUGGCGGACGGGUGAGGAAUACAUCGGAAUCUACUUUUUCGUGGGGGAUAACGUAGGGAAACUUACGCUAAUACCGCAUACGACCUACGGGUGAAAGCAGGGGAUCUUUGGACCUUGCGCGAUUGAAUGAGCCGAUGUCGGAUUAGCUAGUUGGCGGGGUAAAGGCCCACCAAGGCGACGAUCCGUAGCUGGUCUCAGAGGAUGAUCAGCCACACUGGAACUGAGACACGGUCCAGACUCCUGCGGGAGGCAGCAGUGGGGAAUAUUGGACAAUGGACGCAAGCCUGAUCCAGCCAUACCGCGUGGGUGAAGAAGGCCUUCGGGUUGUAAAGCCCUUUUGUUGGGAAAGAAAAGCAGCAGGUUAAUACCCCGCUAUUCUGACGGUACCCAAAGAAUAAGCACCGGCUAACUUCGUG